rnacentral:snRNA from 1 species
GGUCCUUUCAUGGAUACAUGUACUAAAACUGUACUGAGACAGAGGACAUCCCCAUGGCCCUUCAAUAAGGAUAACAUGCAACCUUAUCAAGUGUUCCGUGUUUCU